AAAGAACAAAUCCAAAACGUGCAGUCCCCAGCAUAGCAUGAAGCAAAACCUGAGAGUGAAUAGCAAGCACCGCCAUCUGGCUUCUAUCACACACUGAGCCACAUUUCCCUUCUAGAAAACCACCUAAAACGUCAUAUUCUACCAAAGAUUGGGGGUAAAGCAGAGAGACAGCCCCGGGGUCUGACAGAAUGCUUCUGUCAUCUCUCCACACACACUUCAGGUUCUAGCCAUGUGACCUGUAUGCCCUUGCCGAUCGAUCCUAGUUCUCACCCUUACUCACAACUCUUUGAUCGUGUCCACCCAGAAAAGACUACCCUCUCUCUACCCACAGACACUUGGCCUCUGACCACAAAGCCAGUGACUGCUCCUUAACCCAAAACUCUCCCUGGCAGGCCCUCAUAAUCCCUUGGGCAGAUGGAGACCAGAUCAUCCCUGAUGUAGGUGAUCUCUGAUCCCUACGGUCUUCUAGAAGUCACCAGGGUACUGAGGAGUUGACGAGAGAGUCCUUCCACAGAGCCCUGCCUGUCUUCGUCACAGCAGGCAGGCGGUGUCUCACUGGCUUCAAGAGUCAUCACUGCGCACAUCCAUGUUAGUUCCCUUCAGGACCACAGAGUCUUUGAGCAGAGGUCAUGUAUCAAUCACUCACCCUGUAGGGUCUGGCAUCGAACCCUGAUGCAACUUCAGGGCAUUUUCCUGGAACCCCUGGCUACUGGGACAGAAACCUACUUCUUUGAGAAGAGACGGUUAGUUACUAAUUCAUUCUUUCAGCCUUUUCUCCUACAAAUCUAAUCCCAGACCCUUUGUUGUUUCCCUCACCCAGCCCUCUCCAGCUUCCACUGUGCCUUGGGCCCUUUGCCAGGUUCUCAAACAGCUAUGGGGGCAGGAAUGGUGUCUAUUGUUCUCCUGGGCAAACACACAGAGGUCUACAUACACAGAACCUACACCUCUACCCUCCCAUUAUCCUGUCUCCACCCUGAGCAGACAGACACUCGAGGGCAGUCUCUUCACAGACUCAUCUCUCCCACCAGGGGCCCCAGAGCCUUCCUCCAGUCAGUCCUCAAACACCAGGUAAACACUCCUCACACAGACCUCCGCUUUUUCUCACAGGUAAGCUAAACUGGGCGGAGCUUCUGAACUCCUCUCCUUCCUCCUGGCUCCAGCCCUUCUCUAACUCUAUCUUCUAUUGGCCACCAUAGGCCACGACUUCUUUCUCACCCCUCCACAUGGUUCACUUCAGGGCCGAGGGCAAAUUAAAUGAACCAAAGUUGACUUUGUCCUCCUCCUCCUGGGCUCGCCACCCCCCCUUGCCCUCCCCCUCCCCCAUCUCAAAUCGUCAGUCGUCUUUCUCUUCUCCCAGAGCAUGCAUCCACUACCUUCUGUCUACUUUGCAGCUCAGGGCUUUUGCUUUGUGAAAAUUAACACGCAGAAAGUGUGGGCGCUGCCAAAAGAGCUUCUUUCCGUCUCAGAUGGGAUGACAAGGCUGAGUUGCUGUGACUCUGGUCAGGCUGGACACUAUCUUACUAGGCCAGGGGAUUUGAGAGCAAGUACGUGGUUCGCUCCAUUCAACAAAUAUUUACCCAGCAUCUGUAGCACCACUCUCCAGGAGCAAAACCAACAAACCCCUGCUUCUGUGUGGUGUAGAUUCUAUGGGCGGAGACAGAACCUAAGUCAAACAUUGGCUCUAGGGCCGCGCAUAAAUGGCACCAGGGAAGGACGGGUGGGAUGCAGGCUGAAGUGGUGGUGUGUGGUUUGAAGGAGGAUGGUCAGGGAAGGUGAUAUUUGGACAAAGCUUUGAGGAGAUGAAACAGCAAACCAGGGAGAGGCCUCGAAGGAGAUUGUUUUCGGUAGCUCCAGGAUCGGCUACAAAAUACAUACAGAGAAUGGGACCAGAGCGAUGAUAAGCAAAGGGGACAUUGUACAAAGGAGCUGGCCUCGGGGUCGCGACCCAGCUGGGUUCCAGGGGUCGAAAAGUUAGAAGAGUCAAAUCCGGACUGAAAUGGACCUCGGCAGCGACCAAGAGCUAAAAAGCAAGAAACAGAAAACUAUCUAAAACCUAAGAUGCCAGGCCCCAGAGCGGUUUUGUCGUCGUUUUCUCUGUUGAUGUGACAUCAGGACCAAAAAGCAACUUGACGAGAAAAGGAUUUAUUUGCCUUACACAUCCUAAGCCCCGGUCCACUGAGGGGAGUCAAGGCAGGGGGCCAGGAGGCAGCGACUGAAGCCAAAGCCGUGAGGGGAACACGACUCACUAGCUUCAUGGCUUGCUCAGCCUGCUUCCUUACGUCACCAGGACCAUUUGCCUAGGGGUGGCACUGCCCACCGUGGGCUGGGCCCUCCCACAUCAAUUAUUAAUCAAGAAAAUGCCCUAUUAACAGACUUGCCUCCAGGCCAAUCUGAGGGAGGCGUUUUCUCCAUAGAUUCCUCUUCCCAGAUGACUUCAGUUUGUGUCAAGUUGACAAAAACAAACUAACUAACUAACUAGGACAGAGUUGAACACCUACUGAAAUGGAUUAAGAAACUGAGACUCCUAAGCUCGGCACUUGGAGAUCAUAGCCGGAAGGAAAAUGAGCAUCUUUUGGACCCCACUGAUGUCUUUGAAAUGUCCCUCUAGAGUAGGAUAGGGGCAGCUGGAGCUUCUUUGAUCAUAUUCAGCUGUGCAGGGGUGGAGGGGUGUAGCCCUGAUGGACAGCAGCAAUCUCCCAGGGGCACAUAAAGCCUACCUUCUAUCCCCUCACUUCCGUUUCUUGGGCCCUAUGAGCAUGCGCCAUGGCAGCCCUUUCCGCUCUGGGCUUACCCGGUUGCCCCAGGAGCCUUUGAAGCAAUCGUUCUCUGUAGCUUACAGAACGGGGGACAGCAUUACAUCCCCCAGUCUCUCCACAUCCUGACUUGUGGCUGUAACAGCACGGGAUGGACUAGACCAUCAGCCAGGCUGACUUAGGGCUCAAAUACAAGCUCCUUCAUGUAAUCCCUAGGUGGCUGACUUUCUUGCCAUUUGGGAGAGCCAGUGAAUAGAAUGUGGGCAAUAGUGAGGUAUAUCAGCCUCCUGAACUUCUGUAAAAAUUGUCUGGGACCAGGCAGUGACAGUAAUGAGGCACAUCACAUCUCAGAAGAUGGCAGUGUGUUGACAAUAGUGGUAACUCGAAAUAGUUAAAUCAGGAAAAGGAUGUUUAAAAAAAAAAUCUGUGAAUUCAGUGCUUUCUCUGCAAUGACAUCACUCUCUCACACUGGCAGUCCACAAAGCCUUCCUGAAGGAGAGAUAAAGGACUGACGGCUAACCCCCUGGAGAUUUAUACAGAGGCUUGCAGCCUGUCUUAUCUGUGCCACAGCCCCUGGGAGUACAGCAAGAAAAUGCUAUCUCCUCCAUAGAGUGGCACCAGGAUUAGGCUGAAAGCCACGGGGCUGAUAGCUAUGAACUACAGCCUGGUGCCUGGCACACAGUAGGUGUUCUAGGAAGAGAAUGCCACGGUGAGGUAGGGAGGGAUGGGAGACAAGAGCUCUUGGGUCACAAACUGCUGUAUCAUGAAUCUCGGGCACAGUAUUGUGGGGGAGAGGAACAUUGGAGAUCAUGGCUGGUUUGAGAGGGCAGGGGUGGGACGCUAGCUGACCUAGAGUUGCCCAAGUCUCCAUGGGAAGACAUGGAGACAGCAUAGGACAGGUCACCGUCCUCAGCCCAACCCAUGAAUGAAUGCUUGCAGCCUGGAGGUCUCCCGAGUUGAUUAUCUUGUCUAAGGCCAAAACCUAGGGGAAAACUGCUGGGAGGCUCUCCCUGGAAUGCAGCCCACAGGUGCCUGGGAUCUGUGGACAAGGCGUCUCCAUAGCCACCGACUCAUUCUUGCUCAUUUCCCAGCUUUUGGCUCCAGCCAGCCACUGUGACCCCCCCACCCACACCCCCUUCAGCAACCCAAGUUGGAAUAGCCUGCUUCAACAAGGGGGCCAUCUUGCCCCAACUCCCUUAAUGCUCUCCUGUUAGACCAGGCUUCUCCUUGUCAGGCUGGGAACAGCAGGUCACCUGCCCAAACUGAGAAGGAAAGCUCUCCCAUCCUGCAGACACAGGCCACACAAUCUGCAUAAAGGAUCCUACCUCACAACAGCUGCGAGGUCCUGUCCCAUGUCAAAUCCACCCUGUCCUCCCCUAAACCAACUGACAGAGAAAGGACCAGAAGGAAAACGAAGACAGGGCUUAGCCUUCCACUGUGCCUUCUCUUCCUUCCCUCGAAAUGGGUGCAAGAAACAGCCAGAAUCCAUCCAAAAGAGAAUGAGAUUUUUUAUUACUUAAAAUCAGCAAACUCAUGUUCCUCAAGCCCCAGACCACGGUGGGCAGCUCUUUUACCUCUGUCUCCUCCACUCCACCCCUUAGCCACAAGUGAGAGGAAUGGAAAGUAAGAAGCCAAAGGGCCUCUGCUAGGAGAAGCUGCCCGGAUGUGUGGUAAGUAUGGUCCAGCUGUGGCUGGA
rnacentral:sRNA from 1 species